UACGUAGGAUGCAAGCGUUGUCCGGAUUUACUGGGCGUAAAGGGCGCGCAGGUGGCGCUUUAAGUUAGGCGUGAAAGCUCCCGGCUCAACUGGGAAGGGUCGUCUAAAACUGGAGUGCUCGAGGGCAGGAGAGGAAAGUGGAAUUCCCGGUGUAGUGGUGAAAUGCGUAGAUAUCGGGAGGAACACCAGUGGCGAAGGCGGCUUUCUGGCCUGCCCCUGACGCUGAGGCGCGAAGGCUGGGGGAGCGAACGGG
rnacentral:rRNA from 1 species